rnacentral:tRNA from 1 species
UUGGGGAUUUAGCUCAGUGGUAGAGCACUUGCCUAGCAAGCACAAGGCCCUGGGUUCGGUCCCCAGCUCCAAA